AUUGAACGCUGGCGGCAGGCUUAACACAUGCAAGUCGAGCGAGCGGCGGGCGGGUGAGUAAUGUCUGGGAAACUGCCUGAUGGAGGGGGAUAACUACUGGAAACGGUAGCUAAUACCGCAUACCAUCGGAUGUGCCCAGAUGGGAUUAGCUCGUAGGUGGGGUAAAGGCUAACCUAGGCGACGAUCCCUAGCUGGUCUGAGAGGAUGACCAGCCAAACGUGAACUGGGACACGGUCCCGACUCCUACGGAAGGCAGCAGUGGGGAAUAUUGCACAAUGGGCUGAAGCCUGAUGCAGCCAUGCCGCGUGUAUGAAGAGGACCUUCGGGUUGUAAAGUACUUUCAGCGGGGAGGCGUUACCCGCAGAAGAAGCACCGGCUAACUCCGUGCCAGCAGCCGCGGUAAUUC
rnacentral:rRNA from 1 species